GUGCUGAGAAUGAUCCACCACCUAAAUAAUACCUGCUCUGUGGUGGUCCUGUGGGGGUCCUGACCAUUGAAGAACAGCAUGAAAGAGGUCUAACAAAGCAUGUAGAGAAACAGAUGGACUACAGUCAGUAAUUGUAAAACUACAAAGUGCUUCUCUAUGUGCUUCAAUCAUAUUCCUACAUAAUUUUACCCAGCGUUCUCUCCUCAUCACGAAAAGAAAGAACCCAGGAGGACCCGUUAACAUCUCUGUCUGGUACCGGUCCCACUUCAAAGCAAGAGUGAUAAACGCAGGGAGACAGGGGUCGGCAACCCGCGGCUCCGGAGCCGCAUGCGGCUCAUUCAUCCUUAUACUGCGGCUCCGCGUGGCUUGGGAAAAUAAAUUAUAAGUACAGUCGAACUUCGGAUCCACAUAUGUAUGUGAGCAGCUAUUCUCCACCAUGAACUAUGUUAAAAACAAACACCGCUCACGCCUCACAGACGGCAGCGUAAAGAUGAAAGUGACUUCGUACAGCCCCGAUUUGCAGACGCUGUACGCAGAGGUUCAGGCUCCGCUACACGCUCCGAAAGCCCAAAGGCGAUGUAAGGAUGACGGCUCACGGCAUUUUUUGUUUGCUACAUGGAUAUUUAAAGUUCAGCUUUUUAAUUCAUUUGAAAGAGACCUUCAAUUCGGCGCGUUUUUAUUAUUAUUUUUUUAAGAGUUCAAAAUGUGUUCAUUAAAUAAAUAAAAUGUAAUUUU